GAACGACGCUGGCGCAGGCCUAACACAUGCAAGUCGAGCGAGACCUUCGGGGUCUAGCGGCGACGGGUGAGUAACGCGUGGGAACGUGCCCUUUGGUUCGGAAUAGCCCCGGGAAACUGGGAGUAAUACCGGAUAAGCCCUACGGGGGAAAGAUUUAUCGCCAAAGGAUCGGCCCGCAUUUGAUUAGUUAGUUGGUGAGGUAAUGGCUCACCAAGACAAUGAUCAAUAGCUGAUCUGAGAGGAUGAUCAGCCACACUGGGACUGAGACACGGCCCAGACUCCUACGGGAGGCAGCAGUGGGGAAUCUUGCACAAUGGAGGAAACUCUGAUGCAGCGAUGCCGCGUGAGUGAAGAAGGCCUUUGGGUUGUAAAGCUCUUUUGUAGGGGAAGAUAAUGACUGUACCCUAAGAAUAAGGUCCGGCUAACUUCGUG
rnacentral:rRNA from 1 species